rnacentral:rRNA from 1 species
UACAGAGGGUGCGAGCGUUAAUCGGAAUUACUGGGCGUAAAGCGUGCGUAGACGGUCAAGUAAGUCGGGUGUGAAAGCCCCGGGCUCAACCUGGGAAUUGCAUUCGAGACUGCGUGGCUAGGGUGCGGAAGAGGGAAGCGGAAUUUCCGGUGUAGCGGUCGAAAUGCGUAGAUAUCGGAAGGAACACCAGUGGCGAAAGCGGCUUCCUGGUCCAGCACCGACGUUCAGGCACGAAAGCGUGGGGAGCAAACAGG